rnacentral:rRNA from 1 species
UCUGGGAAACUGCCUGAUGGAAGGGGGAUAACUACUUGCGCAAACGUGUAGCUAAUCCCUUCUUUAUCGCUCUCGAAGAACCAAAGUAGGGGGACCAUUCUGGCCCUCUUGCCAUCGGGAUGGGCGCAUGAUGGGAUUAGUUUAGUUACGGUGGGGUAAACCGCUCAUCAUGGGCUGACGAUCCCAUCACUUGGAGCGAGAAAGCAUGACCAGCCACUCAUGGAAUUGAGUACUCCUGUCCCUAUGCCUACGGGAUGGAGCAGCUU